UGUCACAACUGUGAAAAUGAGGACCGGCAACAACUGGUUUGAACUGGAUAUUGAUUUGUGGUUUGUCGUAGAUAUAUAGAGGUGACAGGUUUCUGUCUCAGAUAUUGAGGUGCCUGCCAACACAGAAGUAACUGACUGAAGUGACUGCAGACAUUAAAAGGUGUACAGAGCCUACAAACACUCAUUCAAGUGUGUUUUGUAAAGAUCUGGCCAACCUGCCGGUGCAUAGAGG